GGCUCUUUGAUAUAAAAAUAUAAAGAGUCGAGCCUGCCCAGUGAUAGUUUUUUAACGGCCGCGGUACUCUGACCGUGCAAAGGUAGCAUAAUCAUUUGCCCUAUAAUUGAGGGCUUGUAUGAAUGGUUUGACAAGAGCAUAACUGUCUCCUUAAAAUUUUAUAAAAUUUGGUUUUUAGGUGAAGAAACCUAAAUAUAAUUGAAAGACAAGAAGACCCUAUCGAGCUUUAGAAAAGUUAAUUAAAAAAUAUAACUAAAAUAAUUAAUUUUAAUUAAAAACUUUGGUUGGGGCGACUGAGGAACAUGAAAAGCUUCCUUAAUUUGAAUAUGCUGUAAGCUUUGAUCCAAAAAAUUUGAUUAAGAAAAUUAGUUACCGUAGGGAUAACAGCAUAAUCUUUUUUGAGAGUUCUUAUCGAAAAAAAGGUUUGUGACCUCGAUGUUGGACUAGGAUAUCCUAAAGAUGCAGAAGUCUUUAAGGGCUGGUCUGUUCGACCAUUAAAAUCCU
rnacentral:rRNA from 1 species